ACAACUGCAAAGCAAUCCUGCAGGACAAACCUAAAAUCAGCUUUGCAUCGUAAACCAGUGACACUGCAUCCUCUUUCAACAUAUGCUCACGAUUAAUGCCAGAAUGCUGCGUGAGGAACAUAUUGGAUACAGACUUCUUUCUUAAACUGAGAGAGAGCAUUGACCGCUGAAGACAGAUUUCCAGUUGCCUGACUGACAAAAGUACACUUGCACCGGAUGAUACAUUUGGGGUUAAAACGUGGCUCGUUCUCCCGCAUGAGACAUGUGGGACAUCAUUUGGUCGCCACACAGCGCACGCACCCUCACCGGGACAGCCGGACAGCCCCGAGAUCAAAGCCUGCCAAAUUCCCUGGUGAUUAUUCCCCUUUUGGGUCCGAUGUCAUGAUCAGAGACUGCAGCGGGGAGGCAGCGUACUCAGUCAAACAAGCUACGUAACAUUCAUUCGCCAUGCCAGAUCUAUUGCAAAGGCACACAUUCAUCCUUGUGCACGCACACAUGGACCCAGAUGAGGCGCGGAGGCAGCUGUGCUGUCACCCUGUGUCUAAUAUAGACGGAGAGCGGGUGAAGAAACGAUUGGACGCAGUGAGACACUCGGUCAACUUGGGGGGGGGCUGAGAACAUCAGGACGAUGAUGAACUCCUUUUCUACAGGCUCCACAGUAUAAACUCGUGAGAAUUACGACCUGCUUGGGUUUCUGCAGUAACGUAUCAGCUGAAACAACAGAUUAAGCAGUUCAACUGUAUCUUCAAAGCCUUUUCCAAAAGUCUGAUUUAUCAUUUUAAAGACGGACUGUGGCUGCUUUCUCAUGG
ensembl:lncRNA